CGGAAAAGGUCGAGGUGAAAGAAGAGUCGGAUGAGCCGAUUCGAUUUUUAGCGUUGGCAGUUGUUAGUUCAGUUGGUUGAAACCCUUGUAUCGAGGGCAAGAGCAAGAUCGAGGGAAAGUUUUCACGUUGGACUAGGAUUUUGGUCUCUUCGAUUGGAGGAAUAGCAAGGUGUCAAGCAAGGUGUUACCGACAACGUGCUUGUCUCCGCUGCCGUUCGAUUUCAUCGGAGCUUCUACUUCUUCCAUGACUACAUUUUGUUUCUUUGAGCUCGUCAGGACCGAUCCAAUCUCAUUCUGUUCGUGUCGAACUCGGACAGCGUUACUGUCCUGAUGCAAAACGUACCGUUCUUUCUGUCGCGACCGACCAUGUGGAAAACGAUGGUUCUCGGUGGAAAACAGAUGCUUCCAAAUGCGGCCUAAUGCUGUUGAACAAACAAAGCAGGCAUACAGAAUCUGUGGAUCCCAACUGCAGAUUCGGGCAAAUCUAGUGUUGGAAAGACGACACGGCUCGCGCGCAUGUGAUGGAAUUACGGGCAGCGUUCGGGACUCGCGGCCAUUGCACUAAAACCUCGUUCAUGCUAAAGAGAAAACCAAAGCGACCUAUAGUCCGCGACGCGACGGAGAAAGAUGUCACGAUCCCGCGCGAAACCACUCCUUUCGCCGCUGGUUUUUUGAGCACCCGUCUAAUCUCUACCUGACGGGCGACGGAUGGGAUUUGUCGCGGAGGGUGCGGAGAAGAAUCCAAGCAGAGGAAUGGACGGAUGGGAGGGAGGGAGGGAGGGAGGGAGGGAGGGAAGGUAAGGUGUGUCGGAGUGUUAGAAACGUGGAUGGGACCGACGAGCGUCAGCAAAUUCGGCGGUCGUCGAAGCGUCCAACCGAAGUUGACGGGGACGAGGGGACACAUUUCGAAAUGACCGGUUCCAAUAGGCCUCCUUGCCGAGAUCAAUUAUUGAUGAGGAUCGAGUUAGAUCUUGAAUGGGGGAGCCCUGGGGAAGAAUUGGAAAUUUUGCAAUGGUGUCUUAGCUUGCUUGACUUAGAGAAGAGGAGAUCGAUGCCGCGCGUCUAUUCGCGUGUCGGGGUGCCGAAAACGAAGAGGACGGUGUGGGGAUUGCGUCGGGGACUCAUUAGCCAGUGCCCCGAUAGCAUAUUUGCUAACAUAAUUUAUUAUAUCAAAAAGUUCGUGCAUCCUUUUCUUCGUUCGGUUAAUGUCUUGAGCUAUGCAAAAUAUGCAGUUAUAGAGGCGAGCUCGACGUAGCAUUGAGCAAGUCCUUGUAAAGUCGAUGCUAUUUUUUUACGUGGUCCAUGCCUAACGAACGCAUCGGUAAAAGGCAAAAAACAAACAUGGUAGAUGCGAAAAGAAAGGGUGCGAAUGGGCAAUCAGCGUCGGCAACUCCCCAGGGCGUUGGCACAGGAGAGUUUUCAGACCUGUUAUCGGAAUGUUCGGUUUGAGGCAGAAACCAAACCGCCGCUCAUUUUGAGUUCGAUUGGUUUCCGCGCUACCUUCCACGGAUUGCUAUUUCUUCACACAGAUCUCUGGUUCAGUCCCAAAAUCACCCCUUCAUGUUGAAAGAAACGAUUAAACAACGACGACAAGAUCACAGCCAAGCAAGGUAGGAAUAAGCUCAUAUAAAAGCUCUGAGGUUCAGCACGAGAGAGAGAGAGAGAGAGAGAUACUAGGCUUGUACUAGAACUUCUAGUUAUAGCAGGAACUGCUGCUGCUGCUACAGCAGGGAAGCUUUUGUAACUUGUGAAUUUUCUUUCUUUUUUGUACAUGUAGCUCGUGAUCAACAUCAGUAAUUUGAAUACUGCAUAGUAUAUGAUUUCCUUA